UACGUAGGGGGCAAGCGUUGUUCGGAAUCACUGGGCGUAAAGGGAGCGUAGGCGGCGUGGUAAGUCAGAUGUGAAAUCCCGGGGCUCAACCCCGGAACUGCAUCCGAUACUGCCGUGCUUGGGGGUUGGAGAGGUAGCUGGAAUUAUCGGUGUAGCAGUGAAAUGCGUGGAUAUCGAUAGGAACACUCGUGGCGAAGGCGAGCUACUGGACAACAUCUGACGCUGAGGCUCGAAGGCCAGGGGAGCAAAAGGG
rnacentral:rRNA from 1 species